ACACCCAGGGAUAGAACAGCAGUUCACUUUGAAGUCCCCUUUUCUAUCCCUGGUACCAG
ensembl:miRNA mdo-mir-1544b mdo-mir-1544b